rnacentral:tRNA from 1 species
GCCCAUGUCCCCAUCUGGCGAAGGGACCGGACUGUCGAUCCGGAAAGGCGGGUUCGAUUCCCGUCAUGGGCGCCA